UGUUGACACUGGUCUACUACCAGGUCAUGUGUCUUCUCAGUCUGGUUGACACUGGUCUACUACCAGGUCAUGUGUCUUCUCAGUCAUGUUGACACUGGUCUACUACCAGGUCAUGUGUCUUCUCAGUCAUGUUGACACUGGUCUACUACCAGGUCAUGUGUCUUCUCAGUCAUGUUGACACUGGUCUACUACCAGGUCAUGUGUCUUCUCAGUCAUGUUGACACUGGUCUACUACCAGGUCAUGUGUCUUCUCAGUCAUGUUGACACUGGUCUACUACCAGGUCAUGUGUCUUCUCAGUCAUGUUGACACUGGUCUACUACCAGGUCAUGUGUCUUCUCAGUCAUGUUGACACUGGUCUACUACCAGGUCAUGUGUCUUCUCAGUCAUGUUGACACUGGUCUACUACCAGGUCAUGUGUCUUCUCAGUCAGGUUGACACUGGUCUACUACCAGGUCGUGUGUCUUCUCAGUCAGGUUGACACUGGUCUACUACCAGGUCGUGUGUCUUCUCAGUCAUGUUGACACUGGUCUACUACCAGGUCAUGUGUCUCCUCAGUCAUGUUGACACUGGUCUACUACCAGGUCAUGUGUCUUCUCAGUCAUGUUGACACUGGUCUACUACCAGGUCAUGUGUCUUCUCAGUCAUGUUGACACUGGUCUACUACCAGGUCAUGUGUCUUCUCAAUCUGGUUGACACUGGUCUACUACCAGGUCAUGUGUCUUCUCAGUCAUGUUGACACUGGUCUACUAUAAUAUAUAAUAAUAAUAAUAUAUGCCAUUUAGCUGACGCUUUUAUCCAAAGCGACUUACAGUCAUGUGUGCAUACAUUCUACGUAUGGGUGGUCCCGGAAUCGAACCCACUACCCUGGCGUUACAAGCGCCAUGCUCUACCAACUGAGCCACAGAAGGACCAUGUUGACACUGGUCUACUACCAGGUCAUGUGUCUUCUCAGUCAUGUUGACACUGGUCUACUACCAGGUUAUGUGUCUUCUCAGUCAUGUUGACACUGGUCCACUACCACAUCAUGUGUCUUCUCAGUCAUGUUGACACUGGUCUACUACCAGGUCAUGUGUCUUCUCAGUCAUGUUGACACUGGUCUACUACCAGGUCAUGUGUCUUCUCAGUCAUGUUGACACUGGUCUACUACCAGGUCAUGUGUCUUCUCAGUCAGGUUGACACUGGUCUACUACCAGGUCAUGUGUCUUCUCAGUCAUGUUGACACUGGUCUACUACCAGGUCAUGUGUCUUCUCAGUCAUGUUGACACUGGUCUACUACCAGGUCAUGUGUCUUCUCAGUCAUGUUGACACUGGUCUACUACCAGGUCAUGUGUCUUCUCAAUCUGGUUGACACUGGUCUACUACCAGGUCAUGUGUCUUCUCAGUCAUGUUGACACUGGUCUACUAUAAUAUAUAAUAAUAAUAAUAUAUGCCAUUUAGCUGACGCUUUUAUCCAAAGCGACUUACAGUCAUGUGUGCAUACAUUCUACGUAUGGGUGGUCCGGGAAUCGAACCCACUACCCUGGCGUUACAAGCGCCAUGCUCUACCAACUGAGCCACAGAAGGACCAUGUUGACACUGGUCUACUACCAGGUCAUGUGUCUUCUCAGUCAUGUUGACACUGGUCUACUACCAGGUUAUGUGUCUUCUCAGUCAUGUUGACACUGGUCCACUACCACAUCAUGUGUCUUCUCAGUCAUGUUGACACUGGUCUACUACCAGGUCAUGUGUCUUCUCAGUCAUGUUGACACUGGUCUACUACCAGGUCAUGUGUCUUCUCAGUCAUGUUGACACUGGUCUACUACCAGGUCAUGUGUCUUCUCAGUCAUGUUGAUACUGGUCUACUACCAGGUCAUGUGUCUUCUCAGUCAUGUUGACACUGGUCUACUACCAGGUCAUGUGUCUUCUCAGUCAUGUUGACACUGGUCUACUACCAGGUCAUGUGUCUUCUCAGUCAUGUUGACACUGGUCUACUACCAG